rnacentral:rRNA from 1 species
GACGUAGGGUGCGAGCGUUGUCCGGAAUUAUUGGGCGUAAAGAGCUCGUAGGCGGCUUGUCACGUCGGGUGUGAAAGCCCGGGGCUUAACCCCGGGUCUGCAUUCGAUACGGGCUAGCUAGAGUGUGGUAGGGGAGAUCGGAAUUCCUGGUGUAGCGGUGAAAUGCGCAGAUAUCAGGAGGAACACCGGUGGCGAAGGCGGAUCUCUGGGCCUUACCUGACGCUCAGGCGCGAAAGCUAGGGGAGCGAACUGG